rnacentral:lncRNA from 1 species
UUUUUUUCUGUAAGAGGUUUUGAGUUGAUUCUUUUUGCUUCUGAUUUCUACGCAAAGUAUUCAGACUUUCAUAAUGUUUCAGAAUUUGUGGAGUACCAUAAGUAUACGAAAUAUACAGAUCGCUACAGACUGGUCUGCUGUUAACAGAUUCUGUUUUUGUUGGUUUGGUUGCUUAUUUUGAUGAAACUAUGGAUAGUAUCGGGGGGUAUUAGCCAUGGAAGAUUGAAAAUACAGUAACCCAACAUCAGC